rnacentral:sRNA from 1 species
UAGGGUACGGUAAUAAAUUUCGUUUAGUGUAGACAAACAAUUAUAUAUAUAUAUAUAUAUAUAUAUAUAUAUAUAUAUAUAUAUAUAUUAAACUAGUUAGAGUUAAAAUUUAACGCCGUCAAAUAAUUCUGUAACGCCCGUUAACGGUUGGGUUUGAUUCUACCAAUAAUUUGUGUCUGAGAUAUUUUUGGAAUACAAAUAAUUAGAUGAGGUAUUUUUAUUCCA